rnacentral:rRNA from 1 species
GACGAACGCUGGCGGCGUGCCUAAUACAUGCAAGUCGAGCGAACGGACGAGAAGCUUGCCUCUCUGAUGUUAGCGGCGGACGGGUGAGUAACACGUGGAUAACCUACCUAUAUGAGUGGGGUAACUCCGGGAAACCGGAGCUAAUACCGGAUGAUAUUUUGAACCGCAUGGUUCAAAAGUGAAAGACGGUCUUGCUGUCGCUUAUAGAUGGAUCCGCGCUGCAUUAGCGAGUUGGUAAGGUAACGGCUUACCAAGGCAACGAUGCAUAGCCGACCUGAGAGGGUGAUCGGCCACACUGGAACUGAGACACGGUCCAGACUCCUACGGGAGGCACCAGGAGGGAAUCUUCCGCAAUGGGCGAAAGCCUGCCGGAGCAACGCCGCGUGAGUGAUGAAGGUCUUCGGUUCGUAAAACUCUGUUAUUAGGGAAGAACAUAUGUCUAAGUAACUGUGCACAUCUUGACGGUACCUAAUCAGAAAGCCACGGCUAACUACGUG